UACGUAGGGUGCAAGCGUUGUCCGGAAUUAUUGGGCGUAAAGAGCUCGUAGGCGGUUUGUCGCGUCUGCUGUGAAAACUGGAGGCUCAACCUCCAGCCUGCAGUGGGUACGGGCAGACUAGAGUGCGGUAGGGGAGACUGGAAUUCCUGGUGUAGCGGUGGAAUGCGCAGAUAUCAGGAGGAACACCGAUGGCGAAGGCAGAUCUCUGGGCCGUAACUGACGCUGGAGGAGC
rnacentral:rRNA from 1 species